UCUACACAUCGUUUUUUUUAAUGCUUCUGAAAAGCCCUGUAAAGGGAUGAAGUAAUCAAGUAAUGUAUGUACGUAUGUAAGAACUCCUGCUCUGUAGUCUGGCUAUAUUGGACUGGGUUACCUGUGUACUAGUCCCAGUCCCCACCGCCAGGCUCUGUACAUACGGGAUAUUCCAAUAGUUAGUCCUCUUUGAAUCAUCCAUCUUGAAAGGAAAUCUAUUCCUUUCAUCAUGAGAGACAAGUGGAAGAAGAAGCGCAUGAGGAGAUUGAAGCGCAAAAGAAGAAAGAUGAGAGCCAGGUCUAAGUAAACACCACGAGCACAAGAGACAAUUAACUUCCAGAUUACUGUUCUGCUCCUUGGAGACAAGAAUAAUACAGAAAUAGCAAGAUCAUCUAUAUUAGAAGUGGCAGUACACUUGUCCAAGAAUACAUUCCACCUUGACUAAAACUUAUAAGCUUCACCAAGAAUAAUCCAUUGUAAACAAUAUCUACAAUAAUAUUAUUCAUCAGGACUGAGGAUAUAAUGAAAGUUGCAGUACAUCUAGUAUUUUGGAUGUUAAUGGUGUACAACUCCAUCAUGUAAACCUGUCUUUAGUGCAAAUAAAUUUGUUUUUCCUUUAAAA